CCUACGGGGGGCUGCAGUGGGGAAUAUUGCGCAAUGGGCGAAAGCCUGACGCGGCGACGCCGCGUGAGGGAUGCAGGUCUUCGGAUCGUACACCUCUGUCAGCAGGGAAGAACGGUCACUGUGCUAAUCAGCAGUGAAUUGACGGUACCUGCAAAGGAAGCACCGGCUAACUCCGUGCCAGCAGCCGCGGUAAUACGGAGGGUGUGAGCGUUAAUCGGAAUUACUGGGCGUAAAGCGCUCGUAGGCGGUAUGUCAAGUCAAGGGUGAAAUCCCCGCGCUGAACGUGGGAACUGCCUUUGAAACGGGCAAACUGGAGUGUGUGAGAGGAUAGUGGAAUUCCAGGUGUAGGAGUGAAAUCCGUAGAUAUCUGGAGGAACAUCAGUGGCGAAGGCGACUAUCUGGCACAUAACUGACGCUGAGGAGCGAAAGCGUGGGUAGCAAACAGGAUUAGAUACCCCAGUAGUC
rnacentral:rRNA from 1 species